rnacentral:tRNA from 1 species
GCCUAUGUAGCUCAGUUGGGAGAGCGCUCCAUAAACUUUAUAACACGGGCUAAGUACACGUCGCGUUGUUAACAUUCGGGUUGAUCGCUGGAUGUUGUUAGGAAAGGUCGCAGGUUCGAGUCCUGUCAUGGGCU